AUUUGGGUAGCUUAUUAGAGCGUCGUGUUGAAGUUACGAAGGAGGACUAUGUCCCUUAAAUA
rnacentral:tRNA from 1 species